GACAGAGGGUGCAAACGUUGUUCGGAAUUACUGGGCGUAAAGCGAGUGUAGGCGGUUUGGUAAGUCGGAUGUGAAAGCCCCGGGCUCAACCCGGGAAGUGCAUUCGAUACUGCCAAGCUAGAGUAUCGGAGAGGUUGGUGGAAUUCUCGGUGUAGAGGUGAAAUUCGUAGAUAUCGAGAGGAACACCGGUGGCGAAGGCGGCCAACUGGACGAAUACUGACGCUGAGACUCGAAAGCGUGGGGAGCAAACAGG
rnacentral:rRNA from 1 species